GAAGGCCAGGCUGAAGACUUUGCCGGAUUAGCUGAGAGGUGGUGCAUGGCCGUCGUCAGUUCGUACUGUGAAGCAUCCUGUUAAGUCAGGCAACGAGCGAGACCCACGCCCACAGUUGCCAGCGUACUCUCUGGAGUGACGGGUACACUGUGGGACCGCCGCUGCUAAAGCGGAGGAAGGAAUGGGCAACGGUAGGUCAGUAUGCCCCGAAUAUCCCGGGCUACACGCGAGCUACAAUGGUUGGUACAAUGGGUAUCUACCCCGAAAGGGGACGGGAAUCUCCUAAAACCAAUCUUAGUUCGGAUUGAGGGCUGCAACUCGCCCUCAUGAAGCUGGAAUCCGUAGUAAUCGCGUUUCAACAGAACGCGGUGAAUACGUCCCUGCUCCUU
rnacentral:rRNA from 1 species